rnacentral:lncRNA from 1 species
UGGCUGUUCUGUGUCCCUCUAGCUCCCCAGGAGGGCCUCGUGGUGAAACGGCGGCGUGAGGCCUGGGUUGAGGGGCAGCCUCUGAGGGCCCCGAAGGAAUCCGGAGCAGUCUUUGAAUAUGCUCCCCAGGAGGGCCUGGUGGUGAAACGGCGGCGUGAGGCCUGGGGUGAGGAGCAGCCUCUGAGGGCCCCGAAGGAAUCCGGAGCAGUCUUUGAAUAUGAUUUCAUUGAGGACCUGCCAAUCAACCCAGCUUGUGACAGGACCGAAGAGACCCCGUGUGUCUCCAAGGCAAGCUAUUUUGUUUUCUGGUCUGAGAUAGAAAUACAUUUUCAUUUAUCUUUCAGUAGAAUUAAGCUAUGAGUCUUUGAG